rnacentral:rRNA from 1 species
GCGGGCCUAACACAUGCAAGUCGUACGCGGGGUUCUCCUUCGGGAGAACUGCCGAGUGGCGAACGGGUGAGUAACGCGUAGGUAACCUACCCUCGAGUGGGGGAUAACCCCGGGAAACCGGGGCUAAUACCGCAUAAAGUCCCGGGGUCGCAUGGCGCCGGGAUGAAAGCCUUCGGGCGCUCGAGGAUGGGCCUGCGUCGGAUUAGCUAGUUGGUGGGGUAACGGCCCACCAAGGCGACGAUCCGUAGCUGGUCUGAGAGGACGGCCAGCCACACUGGCACUGAGACACGGGCCAGACUCCUACGGGAGGCAGCAGUGGGGAAUCUUGGGCAAUGGGCGAAAGCCUGACCCAGCCACGCCGCGUGGAGGAUGAAGCCCUUCGGGGUGUAAACUCCUUUUCUGGGGGAAGAAAUCCCGACUGUGGUCGGGACUGACGGUACCCCAGGAAUAAGCGCCGGCUAACUCCGUGCCAGCAGCCGCGGUAAUACGGAGGGCGCAAGCGUUGCCCGGAAUCACUGGGUGUAAAGGGUGCGUAGGCGGGGCUGUAAGUCAGAGGUGAAAGCCCCCGGCUCAACCGGGGAAUUGCCUCUGAUACUGCAGCUCUUGAGUCCCGGAGAGGCCGCUGGAAUUCCUGGUGUAGCGGUGAAAUGCGUAGAUAUCAGGAGGAACACCGGAGGCGAAGGCGGGCGGCUGGACGGGGACUGACGCUGAGGCACGAAAGCGUGGGGAGCAAACAGGAUUAGAUACCCUGGUAGUCCACGCCGUAAACGAUGGAUGCUCGGCGUUGCUGCCUUCGGGCGGCAGUGCCUAAGCUAACGCGGUAAGCAUCCCACCUGGGGAGUACGGCCGCAAGGCUGAAACUCAAAGGAAUUGACGGGGGCCCGCACAAGCGGUGGAGCAUGUGGCUUAAUUCGAUGCUACGCGAGGAACCUUACCUGGGCUCGAACACCACCGGACAGCCCCCGAAAGGGGGUCUCCCGAAAGGGCUGGUGGUGAGGUG